rnacentral:lncRNA from 1 species
UAUGAAACCCACCAGAUCAGGUAUUUUAUCAUAUGGAACAUUAAUUGUAGAAUGCUGACACUUUUUUAAACAUUUAGUGUGUUUUUUCAGACCCAGAUACUAUAUUGAUAGUGUUUUUUAGUCAAGGAAUUAGGUUUAGGCUAAACCGGCUCCUAGAAUUUUGGGCAAAUUUGAUUUAUUCAAAGGCAUGCGUUGCACAUGCAUCUCGAGGUAGAAUACUUUCCUAAUAUAUUUUCUCUCAAAAGAUGCAUUCAAGAUGAAAGUUGUGCCACCAAUGAAAAAUGAAGAAAGGAUGAAUGCUGCCUUUAAGAGCCUACGUAUUCAAGCAGAAACUGACCGCCAUGAGAUGCUGAAAGAGCAACAUCAGGAAGCCCUACAAAGUUCCAAACAAGAACAAGAAUCCCUGUUAGAGUCUGCAAAGUGCCGAACAGCUCAAUAAAGACUUUGAAGAGAGAUUAAAGAAAAGAAAGACAGCCAGCUACAACUCCUUGAAGAUGAACUGAAUAAAGUCUGCUGAAAACAAUUUACUGGAAAAGGCUCUUGAAAAGGCUGAGACGAUGCAAAACUAUUUGAAGGAAAAAGCCAAUAUGACUGAGAGGAAAAUACAAGAGAUUGAGGGGCAGUUAUCUGCUGCAAUGAGAAGAGAUGAAAAAUCCAUCAAGGAAAAAGAUAAUCUAAAGACAGACAUUGUACAACAUGAGGUGAAGUAUGAAGAGCUAUCAGCAAGUUUCAAUCAGCUGCAACUUGAGAACAAGACUAUGCUGGAGAAGAUGCAGAAUGAAUCCUCAGAGGAGAGGGAGGCAAAAGAUGAAGAUGAAGGAAAUUGAAAGACUCCAGGAGGAAAACCAUCAAUUAUGAGAGGAUUUGAAAUCCUAAAAUGACAAAGUUGAAGAGCAAGGUGAAGACACUGAGAAUCUGCAGAAGAAACUUGGAAAAAGUGUACAGGAGCUACAGCUUCGAGCUACAGAGGCCGUCAAGAGUAAGGAAGAUGCUGAAGUCAAAUGUCAGAACAAGACGCAGACAUGGUUGCCGUGACAGAAAGCACAAGGUUAAGUUCUCUGUUGGUAUCAGAACCACUAUGACAAAAUGGUUGAUGAGAAAGAUGCAGAGCUUGAUGAGAAGAAGAGGAAAGACAUGGAGGCAGCUGUUAAUAGAACAUCACUGAACAUGGAGAAUGGCCAUUUGAAGGAACAACUGGAGAAAGAAAUGAAGGAGAGGGAAAGCUGACUACAGGAGAUUACAGGCCUGGAAAAAGAGACGGCGUGUCAGAAAAUGAGCAGGCAACUGGAGACACAGGAUAAACAGGUGUUCUGAAACACUCAGCCACGAUGCCUGAGGACAGUCACACAAAGCCUCUGUAACCCAAUCCCAAAGCUCAGACAAAAGAGAUGCUGUGACUCCAAACAUUAAUGAAAUGGAAAGCGAAGCCCCAAGAACGCAAUCUUGGAGCUUUAUGACUACAGUUAGAGCAACAUCGCAAAUGAAGGAAAGCAAAGCUCUCAAAACUCCAUCUUGGCGUUCCCCCAGUACAGCUGGUGCAACACCACGGAUUAAGAUCCAGAGCCCUGUUGUUCAGAAAUCACUUGGGAGUGCUUUAAAGCUCGCUGCAAUGAAAAGGAUGCAGGAUGCUGGUUGGACAGCUGUCGCUGGUGCUGACAAGGAGAAGAAAAACAUCAAGUGCUUUUCAAAAUUGAUCGUUUUUUGUGUGUGUGACAAAUGUGGACAUUCAAUAUGCUCUUUUCAUUACACCACUGCUCUCAAGUUCAUCCAUGUCUAUAGUUGUCUGAUGCUGGGAAAUCUGUUGACCGAAAUAGACAUUUAAAAUGCAAGUCAAAACAAUUUGAAAUGACCCAGGUAUAUUAUCUUGUUUUGAUGUUACUGUUUAGCCACAUUACUCACUUUAUUAAUGGAAAAAAUGGAAAAUGCUUGUUUUGAACAGACUUGCCACCUUUGACUCCAUUCAACAUAAAUAAGUUCAAGUGUUUGUUCAUAACAUUGUUGUUUUUGCUUGUGCUGUUUUUAUGUUCCUACAUAUGACAUUUGUCAACAUUGUGUUAUUUACAGUGGUGUAAAGUACUUAAGUAAAAAUACGUUAAAGUACUACUAAAGUAGUUUUUUGGUAUCUGUACUUUACUUCACUAUUUAUAUUUUUGACAACUUUUACUCCACUACAUUCCUAAAGAAAACUAUGGACUUUUUACUGCAUACAUUUCGAAUGCUUAGCAGGACAUGAAAAUGGUGCAGUUCACGCACUUAUCAAGAGGUCAUCCCUACUG